AACGAACGCUGGCGGCAUGCCUAACACAUGCAAGUCGAACGAAGCCUUCGGGCUUAGUGGCGCACGGGUGCGUAACGCGUGGGAAUCUGCCCUUGGGUUCGGAAUAACAGUUAGAAAUGACUGCUAAUACCGAAUGAUGUCUUCGGACCAAAGAUUUAUCGCCCAAGGAUGAGCCCGCGUCGGAUUAGCUAGUUGGUGAGGUAAAGGCUCACCAAGGCGACGAUCCGUAGCUGGUCUGAGAGGAUGAUCAGCCACACUGGGACUGAGACACGGCCCAGACUCCUACGGGAGGCAGCAGUGGGGAAUAUUGGGACAAUGGGCGAAAGCCUGAUCCAGCAAUGCCGCGUGAGUGAUGAAGGCCUUAGGGUUGUAAAGCUCUUUUUACCCGGGAUGAUAAUGACAGUACCGGGAGAAUAAGCCCCGGCUAACUCCGUGCCAGCAGCCGCGGUAAU
rnacentral:rRNA from 1 species